CGGCAUUACCCUCUCUUCCACACAAAGCUCACAUCGGUGGCUGCUCUGUUAUUUCACACAGGCGCGCCGCGGCGGCCAUUCCCCACCGUUAAGAUGUCGACGGACGGAUUGGAGGUCGACGGGUAUGUUCUUAUUGCUUCAACGUCUCUCUCCCCCGAGUUCCUUCCUCCAUCUUUUUGCAAAUCCCUCCACUGAUGGUGCUAGAUUUGAUUGCAAGAGGGGGGGAGCCAACAUCACUGGAACCUAUGGCCUGUUCGUCAGCUUAUGCCGCCGCUAUGCCCUGGACCAUAUCCCCUCGCCCAUGGCAUUCGUUCGAAUCAGCACACGAGAGAGAAUCUGAUGCUGGCCCCUUACCCCCUGGCGAUAUCCUAACCCUCGUGGAAUAAGCCAUAGCCACGGAACAACUCUUCCUCUCGAUCCCCUUUUCUCUUCCCUACGCGCACGGCGGCGCCGGUGCUCUCCGGCGAGAUGUGUACCAAUGGUGUCAAUUGCAACGGAAUCUUUGGCGGUCCUUCCGCUUGGAGUGGUUUCGUCCUACCUGUGGAGUCUCAGGAUUCCAUGAGCAUCGUCAAUGCCGCGAUGGGCGCCGCCCGCAAGACCUUAGAGCCAUGUGGAGAGGCGGCUGGAUAUGAGGUGUUCUCUGAAGAUACCAGUGGCUGGACACGCAGGUUAGUGAUGAAAAGUCUUGGAGAUCCUUCUAUCUGCUUACAAGUGGUGUUUAGACGUGUUGCAUCUUAGCUAAGCGGGUAUUUUCUUGUGGGUGUGUUGACAUUCAGUAUAGGAACGGCCUGUUUGGUGAAUUUGUAGAACGAUUAUUGGAUUUUUCCUACCCCGCCCCCCAAUG
rnacentral:rRNA from 1 species